UUGACCGAUAGGUGGCGCCGUUAUCAUUCAGUCAAGAAACUAACAUGGCGGAUCGUGAAGAUGACGACGAAGUUCCUACCAAAGGAAUAGAUUCCGAAUUUCUUUAUUAGAAUGUUAUGGAAUUAUUUAUGUCUUUGUUUGUCGAUACCGAAGGGCUUCCAACAUCAAAGAUUACUAACCAAAACUUUAUAAUUGGAGAAUCAAAGCGAAAGGUAGGAUAUUUUCCUUCGCUUCUGCUACAUCUUUGAAUAACACAAUUCAAGUAAAUCAGAAAAACAUGGACCUUUGGAAGGAUAAAAAACAUUAUAUAUUAUUGAUUGCAACAGUAUGUGCUUGUUACUUUAAUGCUCUAGAAUGUGAUUUUGUUUUUGAUGACAUGUCAGCUAUAAGAGAUAACAAAGAUCUUAGACCAACUACACCAUUAUGCAACAUAUUUUUAAAUGAUUUUUGGGGAACUCCUAUACAAAAAGUAAGUAAAAUUGCUUAGAAUAUUAAUUUAGUUUGUUAUGUAAUUAUACAUUUUAAAAUUAAAUAAUAUUCAAUAUAUAAUUCAGCUAUUUUGAGUAAAUUUGAUUGUAAACAGAUUUAUAUGAACAACUUUUAAUUAUAUAAUUUAUAACCUCCUUUGAUUUGUUACAUUAGCACAAUAUAUUAAAACCAAAAGUUAUCAUAGAAUGUUUUUAAUCUGAAUGAAUUUUUGUCAGAUGAGCUAUUAUAGAAUUUUCCUUCAUAAACUGUCAUUCUAAGAUACUAUUUUUGUAACUCAGAAACAUUAUACCUUCAUAGGUCAUUAUACUUCAUCUGUCCAGAAGCUUUAUUGCUGAUUAUUUAUGUAUUAUUUGUAUCAUUGAGAUCUAAUUUUUGUUCUUACAAUUCUUUUAAUAUUAUGAUAAAUGGACUACAUUUUUUGUUAU